rnacentral:other from 1 species
ACAACCCUGGGCUAUUUGCCAGCCGCGAAAAGUCCUCGAGCCUAUUUUACGAAUUUAGGGGGCGCCUAGUUGAUGUUGUGCGCAUGUCUGCUCCGGCAGAAAGCCUAAUACAUUGCGGGGGUCACCGCCUUGGACUGCUUGGUUCAAGGUCUUCCGUAGCAGCGGUAGUCUGGGGCUAAC